AUUGAACGCUGGCGGCAGGCCUAACACAUGCAAGUCGAGCGGAAGCAGGGAGCUUGCUCCUGGAUUCAGCGGCGGACGGGUGAGUAAUGCCUAGGAAUCUGCCUCGUAGUGGUGGAUAACGUCCGGAAACGGGCGCUAAUACCGCAUACGUCUUGCGGCAGAAGGUGGGGGAUCUUCGGACCUCACGCUCUCAGAUGAGCCUAGGUCGGAUUAGCUAGUUGGUGGGGUAAAGGCCUACCAAGGCGACGAUCCGUAACUGGUCUGAGAGGAUGAUCAGUCACACUGGAACUGAGACACGGUCCAGACUCCUACGGGAGGCAGCAGUGGGGAAUAUUGGACAAUGGGCGAAAGCCUGAUGCAGCCAUGCCGCGUGUGUGAAGAAGGUCUUCGGAUUGUAAAGCACUUUAAGUUGGGAGGAAGGGCAGUAAGUUAAUACCUUGCUGUUUUGACGUUACCAACAGAAUAAGCACCGGCUAACUUCGUG
rnacentral:rRNA from 1 species